AUUGAACGCUGGCGGCAUGCCUUACACAUGCAAGUCGAACGGCAGCACGGGAGCAAUCCUGGUGGCGAGUGGCGAACGGGUGAGUAAUAUAUCGGAACGUGCCCAGUCGUGGGGAUAACGUAGCGAAAGCUACGCUAAUACCGCAUACGAUCUAUGGAUGAAAGCGGGGGAUCGCAAGACCUCGACGCGAUUGGAGCGGCCGAUAUCAGAUUAGGUAGUUGGUGAGGUAAAGGCUCACCAAGCCGACGAUCUGUAGCUGGUCUGAGAGGACGACCAGCCACACUGGGACUGAGACACGGCCCAGACUCCUACGGGAGGCAGCAGUGGGGAAUUUUGGACAAUGGGCGCAAGCCUGAUCCAGCAAUGCCGCGUGCAGGAUGAAGGCC
rnacentral:rRNA from 1 species